GGACGCGUAGCUCAGCUGGUUAGAGCGCUCGCUUCACACGCGAGAGGUCCACGGUUCGAGUCCGUGCGUGUCCACCA
rnacentral:tRNA from 1 species